AUUGAACGCUGGCGGCAGGCCUAACACAUGCAAGUCGAGCGGAUGAUGGGAGCUUGCUCCUUGAUUCAGCGGCGGACGGGUGAGUAAUGCCUAGGAAUCUGCCUGGUAGUGGGGGACAACGUUUCGAAAGGAACGCUAAUACCGCAUACGUCCUACGGGAGAAAGCAGGGGACCUUCGGGCCUCGCGCUAUCAGAUGAGCCUAGGUCGGAUUAGCUAGUUGGUGAGGUAAUGGCUCACCAAGGCGACGAUCCGUAACUGGUCUGAGAGGAUGAUCAGUCACACUGGAACUGAGACACGGUCCAGACUCCUACGGGAGGCAGCAGUGGGGAAUAUUGGCCAAUGGGCGAAAGCCUGAUCCAGCCAUGCCGCGUGUGUGAAGAAGGUCUUCGGAUUGUAAAGCACUUUAAGUUGGGAGGAAGGGCAGUAAGUUAAUACCUUGCUGUUUUGACGUUACCGACAGAAUAAGCACCGGCUAACUCUGUGCCAGCCGCCGCCGUAAUAC
rnacentral:rRNA from 1 species